GAUGAACGCUGGCGGCGUGCCUAAUACAUGCAAGUCGAGCGAACGGACGAGAAGCUUGCUUCUCUGAUGUUAGCGGCGGACGGGUGAGUAACACGUGGAUAACCUACCUAUAAGACUGGGAUAACUUCGGGAAACCGGAGCUAAUACCGGAUAAUAUUUUGAACCGCAUGGUUCAAAAGUGAAAGACGGUCUUGCUGUCACUUAUAGAUGGAUCCGCUCUUCAUUAGUUAGUUGGUAAGGUAACGGUUUACCAAGGCAAAGAUGAAUAGCGGACCUGAGAGGGUGGUCGGCCACACUGGAACGAAGAAACGGUCCAGACUCCUACGGGAGGCAGAAGAAGGAAAUCUUCAGCAAUGGGCGAAAGCCUAACGGAGAAACGCCGCGGAAGUAAUGAAGGUCUUCGGAUCGAAAAACUCUGUUAUUAGGGAAGAACAUAUGUGUAGGUAACAGUGCACAAAGUGACGGUACCUAAACAGAAAGCCACGGCUAACUACGUG
rnacentral:rRNA from 1 species